rnacentral:tRNA from 1 species
AUUUAAAUAGUUUAUUUAAAAUUUUGAUUUGUGGAAUCAAAGAUGUAUGAUUUAUACUUUAGAUA